rnacentral:rRNA from 1 species
GUUUCUUAAGUCUGAUGUGAAAGCCCCCGGCUCAACCGGGGAGGGUCAUUGGAAACUGGGGAACUUGAGUGCAGAAGAGGAGAGUGGAAUUCCACGUGUAGCGGUGAAAUGCGUAGAGAUGUGGAGGAACACCAGUGGCGAAGGCGACUCUCUGGUCUGUAACUGACGCUGAGGAGCGAAAGCGUGGGGAGCGAACAGGAUUAGAUACCCUGGUAGUCCACGCCGUAAACGAUGAGUGCUAAGUGUUAGGGGGUUUCCGCCCCUUAGUGCUGCAGCUAACGCAUUAAGCACUCCGCCUGGGGAGUACGGUCGCAAGACUGAAACUCAAAGGAAUUGACGGGGGCCCGUACAAGCGGUGGAGCAUGUGGUUUAAUUCGAAGCAACGCGAAGAACCUUACCAGGUCUUGACAUCCUCUGACAAUCCUAGAGAUAGGACGUCCCCUUCGGGGGCAGAGUGACAGGUGGUGCAUGGUUGUCGUCAGCUCGUGUCGUGAGAUGUUGGGUUAAGUCCCGCAACGAGCGCAACCCUUGAUCUUAGUUGCCAGCAUUCAGUUGGGCACCCUAAGGUGACUGCCGGUGACAAACCGGAGGAAGGUGGGGAUGACGUCAAAUCAUCAUGCCCCUUAUGACCUGGGCUACACACGUGCUACAAUGGACAGAACAAAGGGCAGCGAAACCGCGAGGUUAAGCCAAUCCCACAAAUCUGUUCUCAGUUCGGAUCGCAGUCUGCAACUCGACUGCGUGAAGCUGGAAUCGCUAGUAAUCGCGGAUCAGCAUGCCGCGGUGAAUACGUUCCCGA